rnacentral:rRNA from 1 species
CACUGCCGAGAAAAGCCUCUAGAUAGAAAAUAGGUGCCCGUACCGCAAACCGACACAGGUAGUCAAGAUGAGAAUUCUAAGGUGAGCGAGCGAACUCUCGUUAAGGAACUCGGCAAAAUGACCCCGUAACUUCGGGAGAAGGGGUGCUCUUUAGGGUUAACGCCCAGAAGAGCCGCAGUGAAUAGGCCCAAGCGACUGUUUAUCAAAAACACAGGUCUCUGCUAAACCGUAAGGUGAUGUAUAGGGGCUGACGCCUGCCCGGUGCUGGAAGGUUAAGAGGAGUGGUUAGCUUCUGCGAAGCUACGAAUCGAAGCCCCAGUAAACGGCGGCCGUAACUAUAACGGUCCUAAGGUAGCGAAAUUCCUUGUCGGGUAAGUUCCGACCCGCACGAAAGGCGUAACGAUUUGGGCACUGUCUCAACGAGAGACUCGGUGAAAUCAUAGUACCUGUGAAGAUGCAGGUUACCC